UCCUCUACCUCGACCGCUUCUAUGCUCUUCGCUCGGUGGGACUCCCUCACCUGCUGCCGCCACCGCUCCACUCGAUUCCUGCCGCAUUGGUCGAGGCCUUCGCCGCCUCUCCCUCUCGAAGGACAAACUAGAAGAUUGGCUACAAAAGGUAAAAAGCUUCUUCAAGACGAGUUGAAGAACAAAGCUAAAAACUUUGAUUUCAGUAGCCGUAUGUUAUAGUGUUAUAGUAUUCUCUCUUUCUCUCUCUCUCUCUCUCUCUCUCACACACACACAAUUUUGUGUUUCUUCUAAGGCCCUUGACUAUUGUUGGAAUGAACCAAUUUUCCUAGGGAAUAUUCUGUUCAUGCGCUAUUAAUUGUGCUAAUUGUUGAAAAAGUGACGAUUACCUUCA